rnacentral:rRNA from 1 species
GACAUAGGUGGCAAACGUUAUCCGGAAUUAUUGGGCGUAAAGAGCUCGUAGGCGGUUUGUCGCGUCUGGUGUGAAAAUCCAGGGCUUAACCCUGGACCUGCAUCGGGUACGGGCAGACUAGAGUGCGGUAGGGGAGAUCGGAAUUCCUGGUGUAGCGGUGAAAUGCGCAGAUAUCAGGAGGAACACCGGUGGCGAAGGCGGAUCUCUGGGCCGUAACUGACGCUGAGGAGCGAAAGCAUGGGGAGCGAACAGG